CAGUAGCCACGGGAAUACGUAGGGUGCAAGCAUUAAUCGGAAUUACUGGGCGUAAAGCGUGCGCAGGCGGUGUUGUAAGACUGAUGUGAAAUCCCCGGGCUCAACCUGGGAACUGCAUUGGUGACUGCAACGCUGGAGUGCGGCAGAGGGGGAUGGAAUUCCGCGUGUAGCAGUGAAAUGCAUAGAUAUGCGGAGGAACACCGAUGGCGAAGGCAAUCCCCUGGGCCUGCACUGACGCUCAUGCACGAAAGCGUGGGGAGCAAACAGGAUUAGAUACCCCGGUAGUCCCUGUCUCUUAUAC
rnacentral:rRNA from 1 species